rnacentral:rRNA from 1 species
GGGGGGGGGGGGGGGGGGGGGGGGGGCGGGGGGGGCGGGCGGGGGGUGCGGGCCGGGCGGCGGGCGGGGGGGGGACGCGUGGGAACGUGCCCUUGGCGGCGCAACCGGCCGGGGGGACUGGGCGUCAGCCCGGAUGAGCCCCUUGGGGGACAGAUGUAUCGGAGAAGUGUCGGAUCGCGACAGAUUAGGUGGUUGGUGGGGUAAUGGCCUACCCCGCCGUCGAGCCGUAGCUGGGUUGAGAGGAUGAUCAGCCACACUGGGACUGAGACACGGCCCAGACUCCUACGGGAGGCAGCAGUGGGGAAUCUUAGACAAUGAGGGAAACCCUGAUCUAGCCAUGCCGCGUGAGCGAUGAAGGCCUUAGGGUUGUAAAGCUCUUUCAGCUGGGAAGAUAAUGACGGUACCAGCAGAAGAAGCCCCGGCUAACUCCGUG